GACGAACGCUGGCGGCGUGCUUAACACAUGCAAGUCGAACGGAACUACCCCAAUGAGUGUCUCCGGAAUGGAUUAGGUUUAGUUUAGUGGCGGACGGGUCAGUAACGCGCGGGUAACCUGCCCUAUACAGGGGGAUAACAGUUGGAAACGACGGUUAAUACCGCAUAAGCGCACAGGCGCUCAUUCUCCGGUGUGAAAAACUCCGGUGGUAUAGGAUGGACCCGCGUCGGAUUAGCUGGUUGGCGGGGUAACGGCCCACCAAGGCGACGAUCAGUAGCCGGCCUGAGAGGGUGAACAGCCACAUUGGGACUGAGACACGGCCCAAACUCCUACGGGAGGCAGCAGUGGGGAAUAUUGGACAAUGGGCGAAAGCCUGAUGCAGCGACGCCGCGUGAGCGAAGAAGGAUUUAGGGAUGUAAAGCUCUAUCAGCAGGGAAGAUAAUGACGGUACCUGGAUAAGAAGCCCCGGCUAACUACGUG
rnacentral:rRNA from 1 species